UACGUAGGGUGCAGGUGUUAAUCGGAAUUACUGGGCGUAAAGCGUGCGCAGGCGGUCUUUUAAGUCAGAUGUGAAAUCCCCGGGCUUAACCUGGGAACUGCGUUUGAAACUGGAAGGCUUGAGUGUGGCAGAGGGGGGUGGAAUUCCACGUGUAGCAGUGAAAUGCGUAGAGAUGUGGAGGAACACCGAUGGCGAAGGCAGCCCCCUGGGCUAACACUGACGCUCAUGCACGAAAGCGUGGGGAGCAAACAGG
rnacentral:rRNA from 1 species